rnacentral:lncRNA from 1 species
GCCACUAUGAAACCCUAGCCACCGUCGCUACCACCAAACUCUCAGGCCACCAUGUCGUCGUUACCACCAUCAACACAAACCUACAAUUUGAAGUAGAGAAAAGCAACUGAAAACCCAAAAAAUAAAACCUAAAUCGCUUAAUUCCAACCAAACCCUAGCCACCAUGAAACCCUAAACCACGCCCCCAGUAACCAAGGCAAAAUCACCACCAUGAGUCACGCCUCAUCAACAUCAAGCAAGAACUGAAUCGAA